CUACUUGUUGCUGUUUUGAGUUUCAGAAAGAAAGGCCAGUUCCUCAAAGAGAGACAGAAGCCUCUCUCUCUUUUUGCCUCUCUCUCUCCCCCUUCCUCUCUCUCUCUCCCUCAACCAUUUCACUCCUGUUGGAGUGCAAUUCACAAGUGAUAGAAAGUCUGCAGUGGCAGAUGUUCGCUGAUGGUUGUAUCUCUCACUAGACUUUAGCACUGGAGAGUGCAUGGGUGCAACGAACUCUUAAAAUAACUGGCAGAUAUUUGGAGAAAAGAUACAGUAGAAUGAGUAUGUAAAAGAUUUACGGGAUGUGACUGUACCUAGGCUUGGAAGUGAUUGUUUGAAUAGCUACUGUGCCUCUUCACUAUCAUUUUUAAAUGUUCCUAGAAGUGAGUUUAAAAUCAAUACUUUUACUAAAUGAAACAUUUUUUUUUUUCCUGCUGGAAGGAAAGUCAAAGGUUUUACUUUUUUUUUCUUUUUUUAACUUAAACACUGAGGUUAGUAAGGGUAUAGUGAGAAUAGUCACUGUAAAUAUUCUGCCGUUAAGUUUUAUCAUUCUGGUUCUGUACAGAGAAACCUUAACUUCCUAAGAGAAGUAUGUUGUGAAUACUAUUGUUAAGGGUUUGUGUAAGCUGAUGAGUCAUUAAAAGAAAAAUUUUGUACUUUUGUUGCCUGAGAAGAUGCAGAAUACGCAUAGGGACAGGUUCAGAGUUAAAAUAUUGCGGAAAAUAUUUGCAUAAAUUAUUUUCAUAUUUAAUUGUUAUUAGAUUACAUGAAGAGUAAGUUUCUUAUUUAGGACAAUUCAGUUUUAAUAAACUUGGUUAAUUUGGGGGAAAUGUCUAAGCAAUUAAUAUAUAACUUGUCAUUGAAAACUUGGCAUGAGAGAUGCUUUGUGGAAAACCUAAUUAAUUAAACUAAAUUAUUGCUUAUCAUUAGUAAUAUAUUAGAAGAGGGAGGAAAGUACAUGCGAGCUGUUUGACUAUGAUUCCCCUGUUUUGGAUUUAAGGAAUAAUUUUAAAAGGUGUUUUAAGAUUCUUACAAACUGUUUUAUUGUGAUUCUUCUCUCACCAUGACAUGGGUUCUUUUAUUUUUACAAUUACUCUGGGGCUUUUGUGUAAGAAAGGAUAUUGUAUCCUUAUUUGGCUUAAUCAGAUGAAGUUUUAGUAACCAAAUCCUGAAUUCCAAAGCUAUAGUAGUCAUGUAUCCCAGCAAUUGCUUCCUGACUUAUUGUCCGUUUCACUUAGAUUCUCUUAUUGUGUGACAAUGAUCAUAAAUUCUAUUUGACAGGGAAAAAACCCAAACAAGACGUAGUUGUCCAAUUCUACAUCUGUUUUCCUUCCUAGAUAGGCAUGUUUUAGUAAAACAGAGGGAGGAAAAACAUUUUAUUGAGACAGCUAAAAAUAAACAAGCACAAGAAAGAGUGAAUUCGUGUGUGCCUGUGUGUGUGUGUGUUUGCUGAAUAUCUUCAUAUAUGCAGUUUUUUUGAAUGAGGCAUCCUUAUAUAUGUUUUACUUCUUUAGAUUAUUUGCAUGUAAGUUCUUUCAAGGAGAAAAAUCAUGUAAGCAGUUGUAAGUUACAGUUAGUUGGCUAUAUUUAGGGUACUGUUGAUGACCGUUCACAUUUAAAAAUAAAUAACACUUGGGAUAUAUUAAAGAUUUCUCUUAUAAAGAGGACUAUUUCCUUAAUGGUCAUUGAUGAUGUAAAUUUCCUUUAGAACUAUUGAAAAAUGAAAUGAACGAAAAUAAUUUUUGGACUUUCCCUUCUAUUUUGUGCUGCUUAUUUAAAGCUCUCCAUAAGACUUAUUAUAACUUCUUUAUUAGCUAUUUAGGACUUCAGGGUAACGGGUAUGCACUAGACAUUAUUUUUUUCUAUAUUAUGUAAGUCUAAUUCUUUGAUCCCAUCAGAACCAGGCCAGAACAUUUGUAAAUUUAUUUAAGCAUGAAAGACAAUUAUGUAAGUAUUAAUUCAAAAACUAAUGGUUAGUCUUUAUGAGACUUGAAAUUCUCAUGGUUUUGUAAAUAUUAAUCAAAGAAAACAGGCAGACAGACAUUAAAACUUAACCACUUCUCACAUUAUCAAGGCACAAAGGUGAUUCUUGGUUGAACACCAAGAAUGUAAUAUACUUUUAAUUUUUCUUGAAAGAAACUACUUUCUGAAAAGUUGAUGUGUAAAAAUACUGUAACUUUACAUAAACUUAUCAUUUUGGUUUAAUACAAAAUUAAUAAUCAAUUCAUCACUCUUUUUUUAAAAAUCAAAUUCUGUUCUCAAUACAAAUUUUAAUUAAAUGACUUGACAACAAAUGUCAAAAUAGGUACAACAACUUUGAAGAGACUCUUUCAAAGCAUAUAUUUCUCUGAAGUCUUUGAGAAGUUGAGGUGAACUUAGGUUUACAAUUAAUUUAUUUCUAACUGAAAAUCCCAAAAUUAAUAUAUCUUCUUACAAAUGCUAGAAUUAUUAUAUGUUAGAGUCUGUAUUUUAUUUAACUUAACUAUAAGCAAAAAAGUUCUUAACCAGUCUAAUUUAUAUGCUAAAGUUAUAUAAGAAAAUUCCCACCUUGCCUAAUGACCACGUUCACACUCCUUUGUAACCUACCAGCCAUGAAAAGAUAUAUUUGAAAAUCAAAAUUCAUUAUUUAAUUUUGAAUUUUCUUUCUUUAGGUACGUAGUAGAAACUAAUACACACCAUACAGAUAAUAACUGUGUCACCUACUUGCCUGAAGAUAAUAUAUCCAUACAAUUAAUCUAUUUCCAGAAUUAGAAGCUAUGAAACUUCAGGAUGCAAGAGCAACCAAGGCUCUCUCUUUACAUUGGAAUCAAACCUGUGUCCCAAUGGUAGAAGCAGGGGAUACUCAUGAUAUUAGUAAAAACUUCUAAAGAAUUUGUUUCUUCGGUAGUGUUGCUAAACACGUAGAUAUUACAUUUGCACAUUUGUUACUCAUUGUCAAAAGUGCUUAAUACAUCUUUCCGGUACUCUAUCUCAGUAUCGUAGGCGAAUAUUAACAUUACCAUUACCUAAGCCAUCUCCUGUACGAUUAAUGAUGUGGCUAAAGACUAAGGGUUUAUUAAACAUCAGUUCCUGAGUCAAAAAACGACAGUGAUAUUACU
rnacentral:lncRNA from 1 species